UUUAAUUCUAAAAUUUUUUAAUUUCAAUUUAUUUAAUAAUUUGAAUUUAAUAAUUUAAUCCAAGGAGGUCAAAUUCGAAUUGUUGUUCAAUUAUUUUUCAGUUCGGUGUAAUUUUCGACCUGGCAAGAGUGAAAUCACGCUACCAAGCUGCGCUACAUCCCUUUCAAUUGGCCUACAAUGUCAUUGUAGAGAAUCCCUGUCUUGUUUUCCACACCCUUAUUUCAUCUAUUGAUAUACAAAACGGAUCUUUCCAUUUCCUCUUUUUGGUCUCAUAUAACAACCAUAUAAUGAAUAAUAAAUGAAUAUUUUUAGUGGGAAUUCUCAAGCGAAAAGGGACC
rnacentral:lncRNA from 1 species